rnacentral:misc_RNA from 1 species
UUUCCGUAGGUGAACCUGCGGAAGGAUCAUUAUCUUAUAACUGAGGAACGAGGGCUGUCGUUGCCCAGCAAGGUAGUGCACGCGGGAGUACCUGUAUACACCACAAUCUCACCCCCCUGUCAACUACCGCGCGGGGCACCCCAAGGCUUGUUCGGCGGGGGGUCUACGCUCUAACACAGACUUUGUAUGUAGAGUCGUAUGUCUUUUUUGUCUUUGCGAUCACGCAAUUAUUCCCACUUUCAACAACGGACUUCAUGGCUCUCGCAUCGAAGAAGAACG